AGCUAUAUCCCUAUCUUGCAAACACUUAUUUUUUCUGAAACAAAAAUUAUAGUUCCUGAAUCUAAGGAUAUCUUUAUGUAGCUCAGGGCUGGCCUUGUACUCCUGGUAUUUCUGCCUUUGCCUUUUAAGUGUCAGGAUUACAGACAUGUACCACUAUACCCAGAUAAAAGUGGCUUUUACAUACUUGUCACUAUUGUAUUACCACCAUGCUCAGUGAGUGAAUCUAUUCCACUAUAAUUUAUCUACAAUAUACACAGGUCUACCAUCCUCCACUCCCCACCAGUGGGGAGCCUGGCACCAAAGAUAUUCCUCAGUCUUCCUACCUUGGUGACCCAUUCAGUAUGCCCAGUGAGUGUAUUCAGGCAUGUCCCAGCAGAUAAAGCCCAUACUUUCACAGCGAAGUCCGCAGAGCCACUCACCAAAAUAUCCAGUUCAUCACUGUAGUCCACACUGAACACUAGUGCAUACAACAUAAAGUUAAAAACACGCUUCACUGUCACUGCAUCUUUGUAAAAACAGUAACAUUUAUUCUCUUAGCUGUACAAAUACAUAACUUCCUAACCAGGGCACAUUAAGAGCUGAACUACUAAACUAGCAAUUUUAUGAUACAAAGAAAAUCUUUUUCAAAACUAUUAUUACCAUAGUUUAUCCUAAGGUUGAAAAAGCUUUGAGGAUAACUCAAAGAAUUCACUUUUUCCUAUUUGUGCUAGCUUCAGUGAGAUGGAAAUGAUGGCAUCCCCUUUUGCCUGCUUGAUACCACACAUACACCUUAGGUAGUUUAUAGGAAAACAGCAGCCCAGACACCCCUUUUAAGAUCUGCAGUGAUAGUAAAGCACACUCAGGCUCCUAAAGGGCCAGGGCAGAGAAAACAAGGAUCUUAGAAGUCAGACUUAGUCAUCCAUUCAGUGGUGUCUAAAUUUCUUCACAUCAUACACCUAGCAACUAGUUCAAAACAUGCAGUGAAUAUUCAAUAUCUGUUUUUAAAUGUCUAUCAAACUCAAAGGAUAUUGGGGACCUAAAGAUGAAGAUGCUGGUCUUCAAAAACUCUGAGGGAAAAGUUACGUUUUUGUUUUUGUUUUUAAAGGUUACCUGUUGCUAGAGAAAUACUGAAGAUAAUGACUAAUCUGCCCAGGCUAUCAGAUAGGACUUCAGAGAAGAUAACAUAUUGGAGCUGGGACAUGAAGGAUGUGUAUAGUUUAUUAAGAAAAUAAAAAGAUGCUUCAGGUAGAGCAGACAGCAAAGGCAUGGAUUAAAAGCUCAGAGGUGUCAAGAAGCCUUUUUAGAGGUAAGGAAUGAAAUCACCUAGAAGCUGUGGUGUCCUUAGGCUGUGUGGUAUUACUCUAAUGGAUGGGGUCUGUACUAAGCCAUAGAUUUUUCUUUUGUUUGCUUUUUGAGACAGGGUUUCUCCAUAUAGCUCUGCUGUCCUGGAACUCGCUAUGUUGACCAGGCUGGCCUCAAACCCAGAGAUCUGCCAGCCUCUGUCUACCAAGUGCUGGGAUUAAAUGUGUGUUCCACUACACUUGGCUACAAACCAUAGAUUUCUAAAUAAGAACAGAUUAAAAAAAUUUUUUUUAAUAUGAGUUUAAUUGGAGGAGUGUUUUGUAAGAGUUAG
rnacentral:lncRNA from 1 species